ACUGCUCCUAACAGUGUUGCAGGUCUGGCUACUGUGUCACAUCUGCAUAAGUAGGUAGCAGAGAGGAGAGAGGCUAUGUUUAAGCUCUGUGCUCUGACCUAAUCUGAAUGAUUAGUAGCCUGACAUU